UCUGGAACUCCCUGCCCAAGCUCUGC
rnacentral:piRNA from 1 species